rnacentral:piRNA from 1 species
AACAAGAGAGGAGCUGCCAACCAAGA